CAGUAGCCACGGGAAUACGAAGGGGGCUAGCGUUGUUCGGAAUUACUGGGCGUAAAGCGCACGUAGGCGGAUAUUUAAGUCAGGGGUGAAAUCCCGCAGCUCAACUGCGGAACUGCCUUUGAUACUGGGUAUCUUGAGUAUGGAAGAGGUUAGUGGAAUUGCGAGUGUAGAGGUGAAAUUCGUAGAUAUUCGCAGGAACACCAGUGGCGAAGGCGGCUAACUGGUCCAUAACUGACGCUGAGGUGCGAAAGCGUGGGGAGCAAACAGGAUUAGAGACCCGCGUAGUCCCUGUCUCUUAUAC
rnacentral:rRNA from 1 species